rnacentral:tRNA from 1 species
GGUGGCUCAGUAGUAGAGUGCUUGCCUUGUACGCAUGAGGCCUUGGGUUUGAUUCCUCAGCACCA